GUCUCCUCAGUGCAAAUUAAAGUCAUUGAACUGAAUCCAGUCCAGUUCAGCAGGAAGAAAUACCUCUGGGAAGAAAAAGAGUGUGCUGGAAAUAAAAGGUUGGAAAGAUUCCCUUUGGGAACAGCUGAUCUUUCAGAGACAUGGCAGUGAACACCCAGAGGCCUCUGUAGACAUCAAAGAGCUCUUCUUUUCGGGGUUAGGCGAGUGGAGUCAACACCCACUCUGAGAAUGUGGAGCUGGUCAGGAGCCCCAGGCUGUGGGGUUGCCUCUGCUGUAUGACCUGUGAUGACUUCCAGGCUGCUCCCUACAGGGACUAUGAGAUGGUACAGAACUCUCUCUGGAAUCCAAGACCUUCCUGCUCUAAAGGAGCAUUUUUCCUGUAGGGGGAAGAAAUCGGCCUCCAUCAUGGGCUUAGUUCCCAGGAUCUGACUGGUAUCAGCGAGGACAUCCUAAUAACCAGUCUCUGCUUGAGGGAGGAAGGGAGUGAGCGCUCGGUUCCUGGAGGUGUUCUGGCAGAGACCUGUGAAGGGAGUGUGGGCAAGCUUGUCAGUUAGGAGGCUUAAGGCUGCAACUGACAGAACCACAGACUAAACGUUGCUUUAACAGUAAUGAAUUUGUUAUCUAUCGUAAUAAGAAGUCCUGUUACCUAAUAAAAUUGGGUAGAUGACGUAGCACAUCAAGGAUGUCAGGGCUCUAGGACAGCGUCUCUGGGGUACUCUUGAGUUUCCCCUCAUGGUCCAGCCACAGUUGGGAGUACCAUCUCCUCAUACACACCCCCCCAAAUACAGGAAGGAGCAGGUACUGAGUUUCUUUUUACAAAUGAAGGAAAUAUUCCCAGAAGCCCUCACAGGCUUCCUUUUAUACCUCACUGGCCAGAGUGGAGUCGCAUUGGUGUGCCUCCUCCAGUCACCAGCAAAGAGAGAGGAAUUAGCUUCAUUAGCUUAAAUUGGUCAAUGAGUGUGGGGAAUACCCAUGAAACACCUGGGCACUCAGUACCUGAACAAAAUUGGGGUGCUGUCAGCAAGGAAGAAGGGGGUGUCGCUGGGCAGGCCAUGGACACAGUCUGCCGUAGCAGGGGUUUUUGACCAGACAACUCUUGAGCUGGAUGCCAGCUCUUUGAUUCUAUUUCCAGAGUUCUUUCCAGUUUGAGAAUCUUAGUUUUUAUAAGUUGCCACUUCUUUUUUUUUAAUUGCUUUUCUGACUUUCUUAUGGCCCAGUUUCCCUGCCCCACUCCCUGUCUUGGAGGUUGCAGUUAGGCCCUGGUGACACACUUGGCACGGGAAGGCUGUGAACACAGCCCUGACGAGCUGGGUGUGGGCCCAGACAGUAAAUGCAGCAGUUAAUUGUUUUCUUCUCUCCCUCAA